CUACGGGUGGCUCCAGUGGGGAAUAUUGGACAAUGGGGGCAACCCUGAUCCAGCCAUGCCGCGUGUGUGAAGAAGGCCUUUUGGUUGUAAAGCACUUUAAGCAGGGAGGAGAGGCUAAUGGUUAAUACCCAUUAGAUUAGACGUUACCUGCAGAAUAAGCACCGGCUAACUCUGUGCCAGCAGCCGCGGUAAUACAGAGGGUGCGAGCGUUAAUCGGAAUUACUGGGCGUAAAGCGAGUGUAGGUGGCUCAUUAAGUCACAUGUGAAAUCCCCGGGCUUAACCUGGGAACUGCAUGUGAUACUGGUGGUGCUAGAAUAUGUGAGAGGGAAGUAGAAUUCCAGGUGUAGCGGUGAAAUGCGUAGAGAUCUGGAGGAAUACCGAUGGCGAAGGCAGCUUCCUGGCAUAAUAUUGACACUGAGAUUCGAAAGCGUGGGUAGCAAACAGGAUUAGAUACCCCGGUAGUC
rnacentral:rRNA from 1 species